rnacentral:rRNA from 1 species
UGGGGAAUAUUGGACAAUGGGCGAAAGCCUGAUCCAGCCAUGCCGCGUGUGUGAAGAAGGUCUUCGGAUUGUAAAGCACUUUAAGUUGGGAGGAAGGGCAGUAAGCGAAUACCUUGCUGUUUUGACGUUACCGACAGAAUAAGCACCGGCGAACUCUGUGCCAGCAGCCGCGGUAAUACAGAGGGUGCAAGCGUUAAUCGGAAUUACUGGGCGUAAAGCGCGCGUAGGUGGUUCGUUAAGUUGAAUGUGAAAGCCCCGGGCUCAACCUGGGAACUGCAUCCAAAACUGGCGAGCUAGAGUAGGGCAGAGGGUGGUGGAAUUUCCUGUGUAGCGGUGAAAUGCGUAGAUAUAGGAAGGAACACCAGUGGCGAAGGCGACCACCUGGGCUCAUACUGACACUGAGGUGCGAAAGCGUGGGGAGCAAACAGG